rnacentral:rRNA from 1 species
UGGGGAAUAUUGGACAAUGGGCGCAAGCCUGAUCCAGCCAUGCCGCGUGAGUGAUGAAGGCCCUAGGGUUGUAAAGCUCUUUCACCGGUGAAGAUAAUGACGGUAACCGGAGAAGAAGCCCCGGCUAACUUCGUGCCAGCAGCCGCGGUAAUACGAAGGGGGCUAGCGUUGUUCGGAUUUACUGGGCGUAAAGCGCACGUAGGCGGACUUUUAAUUCAGGGGUGAAAUCCCGGGGCUCAACCCCGGAACUGCCUUUGAUACUGGAAGUCUUGAGUAUGGUAGAGGUGAGUGGAAUUCCGAGUGUAGAGGUGAAAUUCGUAGAUAUUCGGAGGAACACCAGUGGCGAAGGCGGCUCACUAGACCAUUACUGACGCUGAGGUGCGAAAGCGUGGGGAGCAAACAGG